AAAUCACAAUGCGGGACUAUACGUCUUGCAAUUGGAUUGAGAACAAUGUACAACUCUUAUCGAUAAGCCAUUGGAGGGCAAGUCUGGUGCCAGCAGCCGCGGUAAUUCCAGCUCCAAUAGCGUAUAUUAACGUUGUUGCAGUUAAAAAGCUCGUAGUUGAAGUGUGGGUGGUGCUGUCUGAGUAACUUCGGUUAGUCAGAUGAUCACUACCCCCUUCCAGUAUCCAGUAGUGGGUAUUCACUUACUUACUAUUGUGUGUUGGUCGUUUACUGUGAGAAAAUUAGAGUGUUCAAAGCAGGCGUUUGCUUGAAUAGAUUAGCAUGGAAUAAUAAUUGAAGGCUUUCGUGUUCGAUUUGAUUGGUUUGUUCAUGGAAGCAAGGUUAAAAGGAACAGUUGGGGGUAUUCAUAUUCACUAGUUACAGGUGAAAUUCU
rnacentral:rRNA from 1 species